CAAAUGGGGGUGUCAUUUAUCUAUGCCAACCCGACUGCCCUCUGCCCUCCCUCCAGUGCUCUUUGCCCUCACCCAGUAACCUAAUUUGCAUUUGAAAAAGAGCAGCGGUUGCAAUAGCACCUUGAGUUCCAGCCUUCAGCCAGCCUGGAGAGUGCAUCAGGAAUUUGGGUGGUCAUCUGCUGGGAAUCAGCAGUAUGCAGAAGACAGCAGGAGUACAAGUGGAGACCAUUUUAAGUGUUAUUUCUCAGUCCUGUGAAAACCCAGAACUACCAUGUCUGAGAUCUUGAGCUGUUUCCACUUCAUUCUGCAGUGAAAUUACCAAUGCAUCAGGACAUGAGCCUGAAUGUCGGGCGAAGAGCAUCAGUAAUUCUGCACCCACUUUACAUAUGAAGAAGCUGAAGUCUUGCAAAGUGGCCCAAGGUCUCCCAGGGAUGACCUGCUGGAAGCAAGCUAUGAAUCUAAGUCUCACCCCAAAGCUGCCUGUGUUCUCUUGUGAAAAGAACCACAAGCCAAAAGUUGGAUCAAUACCCAAGGACAGACACCUCUCUAAGAGCUGUGAUUGAGCUUGCAUACCUCACCCAACAGCGCCUCAGAUGAAGAAGAUCCUGCGGCAUCCCUGGUAUCCAUGGCCUUUCAUUGCUCCUGGAAUUCUUGCUCCUUUUUGAGUGAGUGUGCUUUGUUCGUUUCAUAAUUGGACUCUUAAUUCAGCAAUAGCUCUGGCCAGUUGCUAUUAAUGAUCACUUUGCUCUCCUCUUCCCAUAGCAAUUAUUAAUUAAACUGCUCAGAGAGUCAUAAUGAGAAAUUAAAGACUGUAAUAAUAUUUUAGGAAGCAGUAUCCCAUGAUCUUGGAGGCCUAUAUUCUGUUCCAAAGGCAGAGCAGAGUUUGUUUAAUUCACAAACAUUUACUGAGUCCCCUUUAGGUAGAAGGCCCCAUUCAGUUUCCAGGCAUACACCAAGGAUGGCAUCUGCUCUAGGGAGGAGCUGAAGGUCAUGGUGUGGAGUGUUUUUUGAUCCAAGUCUUAACUCUUAUUGAUUCUCCUUUCUCAACUUGUACCCUUCCAUCGAGAAUCAGUUCCAACUUUCCCUUCUACUUUCAUUACCUACCGUUCCCUCCCACAACCUUAAGAAGCCCUCAGGUUAAUUGCUCCUUUUCUGAGUUCCUGUGAUAACUUUGUAUAAAUCUCUAUUAUAGAACUAAUAUUUUUAUCAUCAUUAAAAAAAUAAAAAACAAC
rnacentral:lncRNA from 1 species